AUUGAACGCUGGCGGCAUGCCCUACACAUGCAAGUCGAACGGUAACAGGUCUUCGGAUGCUGACGAGUGGCGAACGGGUGAGUAAUACAUCGGAACGUGCCUAGUAGUGGGGGAUAACUACUCGAAAGAGUGGCUAAUACCGCAUGAGAUCUACGGAUGAAAGCAGGGGAUCGCAAGACCUUGUGCUACUAGAGCGGCCGAUGGCAGAUUAGGUAGUUGGUGGGAUAAAAGCUUACCAAGCCGACGACCUGUAGCUGGUCUGAGAGGACGAUCAGCCACACUGGGACUGAGACACGGCCCAGACUCCUACGGGAGGCAGCAGUGGGGAAUUUUGGACAAUGGGCGCAAGCCUGAUCCAGCAAUGCCGCGUGCAGGAUGAAGGCCUUCGGGUUGUAAACUGCUUUUGUACGGAACGAAAAGCCCCGGGUUAAUACCCUGGGGUCAUGACGGUACCGUAAGAAUAAGCACCGGCUAACUACGUGCCAGCCGCCGCCGUAA
rnacentral:rRNA from 1 species